AUCCCUGUAGAGCAUUGGAUACCGCAUUGGACUUCUAAUCCAAAAGUCGUAGGUUCGAAUCAUAUCUGAGAUA